rnacentral:rRNA from 1 species
GACAGAGGAUGCAAGCGUUAUCCGGAAUGAUUGGGCGUAAAGCGUCUGUAGGUGGCUUUUAAGUCCGCCGUCAAAUCCCAGGGCUCAACCCUGGACAGGCGGUGGAAACUACCAAGCUGGAGUACGGUAGGGCAGAGGGAAUUUCCGGUGGAGCGGUGAAAUGCGUAGAGAGUACGGAAAGAACACCAACGGCGAAAGCACUCUGCUGGCCGACACUGACACUGAGAGACGAAAGCUAGGGAGCGAAUGGG